AAUACCGCAUGUGAUCUACGGAUUAAAGCUUAAUGCGCUUUAGGAGGUGGCUGCGGCCCAUCAGGUUGUUGGCGGGGUAAUGGCCCACCAAGCCUAUGACGGGUAUCCGGCCUGAGAGGGUGAUCGGACACAUUGGAACUGAGACACGGUCCAGACUCCUACGGGAGGCAGCAGCUAGGAAUUUUCCGCAAUGGACGAAAGUCUGACGGAGCAACGCCGCGUGAAGGAUGAAGGUCUUUAGGGAUUGUAAACUUCUUUUAUAUGAGACGAGUAAGGACGGUAUCAUAAGAAUAAGUCCCGGCUAACUACGUGCCAGCAGCCGCGGUAAUACGUAGGGGGCUAGCGUUGUUCGGAAUUACUGGGUAUAAAGGGUGCGCAGGCGGAUUUCUAAGCAAGAGGUGAAAUGUCAAGGCUCAACCAUGGCACUGCCUUUUGAACUGGUUAUCUGGAGUACAGAAGGGGAGAGCAGAAUUUCCGGUGUAGGGGUGGAAUCUAUAGAUAUCGGAAGGAAUACCGUUCGCGAAGGCGGCUCUCUGGUCUGCUACUGACGCUCAUGCACGAAAGCGUGGGGAGCAAACAGGAUUAGAUACCCUGGUAGUCCACGCCGUAAACGUUGUACACUUGGUGGUUGGAUUUAAAAUCUGACUACCGGAGCUAAUGUGUUAAGUG
rnacentral:rRNA from 1 species